rnacentral:rRNA from 1 species
CCUACGGGUGGCAGCAGUGGGGAAUAUUGGACAAUGGGGGGAACCCUGAUCCAGCCAUGCCGCGUGUGUGAAGAAGGCCCUCGGGUUGUAAAGCACUUUCAGUGAGGAAGAACCCCUGGUGGUUAAUACCCAUCAGGAAAGACAUCACUCACAGAAGAAGCACCGGCUAACUCCGUGCCAGCAGCCGCGGUAAUACGGAGGGUGCGAGCGUUAAUCGGAAUUACUGGGCGUAAAGCGCGCGUAGGUGGCUUGAUAAGCCGGUUGUGAAAGCCCCGGGCUCAACCUGGGAACGGCAUCCGGAACUGUCAAGCUAGAGUGCAGGAGAGGAAGGUAGAAUUCCCGGUGUAGCGGUGAAAUGCGUAGAGAUCGGGAGGAAUACCAGUGGCGAAGGCGGCCUUCUGGACUGACACUGACACUGAGGUGCGAAAGCGUGGGUAGCAAACAGGAUUAGAUACCCGGGUAGUC